rnacentral:rRNA from 1 species
CAGCAGCCGCGGUAAUACCGGCGGCCCGAGUGGCGGCCACUAUUAUUGGGCUUAAAGCGUCCGUAGCCGGGUUGGUUAGUCUCCCGGGAAAUCUGGCCGCUUAACGGUCAGAAUUCCGGGAGAUACUGCCAGCCUAGGGACCGGGAGAGGCCGAGGGUAUUCCCGGAGUAGGGGUGAAAUCCUAUAAUCCCGGGAGGACCACCUGUGGCGAAGGCGCUCGGCUGGAACGGGUCCGACGGUGAGGGACGAAGGCCGGGGGAGCAAACCGGAUUAGAUACCCGGGUAGUCCACGCCGUAAACGGUGGGCACUAGGUGUGGGGGGUUAAUCCCUCCGUGCCGAAGCUAACGCAUUAAGUGCCCCGCCUGGGGAGUACGGCCGCAAGGUUGAAACUUAAAGGAAUUGGCGGG